rnacentral:rRNA from 1 species
GAUGAACGCUGGCGGCGUGCCUAAUACAUGCAAGUCGAGCGAACGGACGAGAAGCUUGCUUCUCUGAUGUUAGCGGCGGACGGGUGAGUAACACGUGGAUAACCUACCUAUAAGACUGGGAUAACUUCGGGAAACCGGAGCUAAUACCGGAUAAUAUUUUGAACCGCAUGGUUCAAAAGUGAAAGACGGUCUUGCUGUCACUUAUAGAUGGAUCCGCGCUGCAUUAGCUAGUUGGUAAGGUAACGGCUUACCAAGGCAACGAUGCAUAGCCGACCUGAGAGGGUGAUCGGCCACACUGGAACUGAGACACGGUCCAGACUCCUACGGGAGGCAGCAGUAGGGAAUCUUCCGCAAUGGGCGAAAGCCUGACGGAGCAACGCCGCGUGAGUGAUGAAGGUCUUCGGAUCGUAAAACUCUGUUAUUAGGGAAGAACAUAUGUGUAAGUAACUGUGCACAUCUUGACGGUACCUAAUCAGAAAGCCACGGCUAACUACGUGCCAGCAGCCGCGGUAAUACGUAGGUGGCAAGCGUUAUCCGGAAUUAUUGGGCGUAAAGCGCGCGUAGGCGGUUUUUUAAGUCUGAUGUGAAAGCCCACGGCUCAACCGUGGAGGGUCAUUGGAAACUGGAAAACUUGAGUGCAGAAGAGGAAAGUGGAAUUCCAUGUGUAGCGGUGAAAUGCGCAGAGAUAUGGAGGAACACCAGUGGCGAAGGCGACUUUCUGGUCUGUAACUGACGCUGAUGUGCGAAAGCGUGGGGAUCAAACAGGAUUAGAUACCCUGGUAGCCCACGCCGUAAACGAUGAGUGCUAAGUGUUAGGGGGUUUCCGCCCCUUAGUGCUGCAGCUAACGCAUUAAGCACUCCGCCUGGGGAGCACGACCGCAAGGUUGAAACUCAAAGGAAUUGACGGGGACCCGCACAAGCGGUGGAGCAUGUGGUUUAAUUCGAAGCAACGCGAAGAACCUUACCAAAUCUUGACAUCCUUUGACAACUCUAGAGAUAGAGCUUUCCCCUUCGGGGGACAAAGUGACAGGUGAUGCAUGGUUGUCGUCAGCUCGUGUCGUGAGAUGUUGGGUUAAGUCCCGCAACGAGCGCAACCCUUAAGCUUAGUUGCCAUCAUUAAGUUGGGCACUCUAAGUUGACUGCCGGUGACAAACCGGAGGAAGGUGGGGAUGACGUCAAAUCAUCAUGCCCCUUAUGAUUUGGGCUACACACGUGCUACAAUGGACAAUACAAAGGGCAGCGAAACCGCGAGGUCAAGCAAAUCCCAUAAAGUUGUUCUCAGUUCGGAUCGUAGUCUGCAACUCGACUACAUGAAGCUGGAAUCGCUAGUAAUCGUAGAUCAGCAUGCUACGGUGAAUACGUUUCCGGGUCU